UACGGGAGGCAGCAGGGGGGAAUAUUGCACAAUGGGCGAAAGCCUGAUGCAGCUAUGCCGCGUGUAUGAAGAAGGCCUUAGGGUUGUAAAGUACUUUCAUCGGGGAGGAAAAAACAAAACUAAUAAUUUUAUUUCUUGACGUUACCCGAAAAAGAAGCACCGGCUAACUCCGUGCCAGCAGCCGCGGUAAUACGGAGGGUGCUAGCGUUAAUCAGAAUUACUGGGCGUAAAGAGCACGUAGGUGGUUUUUUUAAAGUCAGAUGUGAAAUCCCUGGGCUUAACCUAGGAACUGCAUUUUGAAACUGAAAUACUAGAGUAUCGUAGAGGGAGGUAGAAUUCUAGGUGUAGCGGUGAAAUGCGUAGAUAUCUGGAGGAAUACCUGUGGCGAAAGCGGCCUCCUAAACGAAUACUGACACUGAGGGUGCGAAAAGCGUGGGGAGCAAAACAGGGAUUAGAUACC
rnacentral:rRNA from 1 species